rnacentral:rRNA from 1 species
CGAAAUUCCUUGUCGGGUAAGUUCCGACCUGCACGAAUGGUGUAACGAUCUGGGCGCUGUCUCAGCCAUGAGCUCGGUGAAAUUGUAGUAACGGUGAAGAUGCCGUUUACCCGCAACGGGACGGAAAGACCCCGUGCACCUUCACUAUAACUUAACAUUGACAUUGGAUACGCGAUGUGUAGGAUAGGUGGGAGGCAGUGAAGCAGGGACGCCAGUUCUUGUGGAGCCGUCCUUGAAAUACCACCCUUUGCUUAUUUGAUGCCUAAUCUUGUUUUAGACGAGAGACAUUGUUUGGUGGGUAGUUUGACUGGGGUGGUCGCCUCCAAAAGAGUAACGGAGGCUUCUAAAGGUACCCUCAGUACGGUUGGUAACCGUGCGUAGAGUGCAAUGGCAUAAGGGUGCUUGACUGUGAGACCAACAAGUCGAUCAGGUACGAAAGUAGAGCAUAGUGAUCCGGUGGUUCCGCAUGGAAGGGCCAUCGCUCAAAGGAUAAAAGGUACGCCGGGGAUAACAGGCUGAUCACUCCCAAGAGCUCAUAUCGACGGAGUGGUUUGGCACCUCGAUGUCGGCUCGUCACAUCCUGGGGCUGGAGAAGGUCCCAAGGGUUCGGCUGUUCGCCGAUUAAAGUGGCACGCGAGCUGGGUUCAGAACGUCGCGAGACAGUUCGGUCCCUAUCUGUUGUGGGCGUUGGAAGCUUGAGAGGGGCUGACCUUAGUACGAGAGGACCGGGUUGGACAAACCUCUGGUGUACCUGUUGUGGCGCCAGCUGCACCGCAGGGUAGCCAUGUUUGGUGAAGAUAAGUGCUGAAAGCAUCUAAGCACGAAACUUACCUCAAGAUGAGGCUUUCUUUAAGGGUCCAGGAAGAUGACCUGGUUGAUAGGCUGCAGGUGUAAAGGUGGUAACAUCAAAGCCGAGCAGUACUAAUUACCCGUAAGCUUUCUUAC